rnacentral:rRNA from 1 species
GACGUAGGGUGCAAGCGUUGUCCGGAUUUACUGGGCGUAAAGGGCGUGCAGGCGGUCUGUUAAGUCUAGGGUGAAAGCUCCCGGCUCAACUGGGAGAGGUCCUUGGAUACUGGCGGACUUGAGGGAGGCAGAGGAAAGUGGAAUUCCCGGUGUAGUGGUGAUAUGCGUAGAUAUCGGGAGGAACACCAGUGGCGAAGGCGGCUUUCUGGGCCUUACCUGACGCUGAGACGCGAAAGCGUGGGGAGCGAACCGG